CAAGAGCGUAUAUUAAAGUUGCUGCGGUUAAAAAGCUCGUAGUUGGAUUUCAGUCUAGGAAGGUUCACUCGCCGAAAGGUUGUACGUUGAUUUUCCUCAGACUUCGUCAGAAGCUCGUGCUGCACUUAACUGUGUGGUACGAUGUUCUGACCUUUUACCUUGAGGAAAGUAGAGUGUUUCAGGCAGGCUACCCAGCUUGAAUACAUUAGCAUGGAAUAAUGAAAUGGAUCUCGGUUCGAUUUCGUUGGUUCUAGAGCUGAGGUGAUGAUCAAUAGGAACAGGCGAAGGUAUUCGUACUUGAGAGUGAGGAGUGAAAUCCGAUGAUCUCUUAAAGACGAUCCGAGGCGAAAGCAUUUGUCAAGGAUGUUAUCAUUGA
rnacentral:rRNA from 1 species